rnacentral:rRNA from 1 species
UACGUAGGACCCGAGCGUUGUCCGGAUUUACUGGGUAUAAAGGGUGCGUAGGCGGUCUUGUGCGUCAGAGGUGAAAUCUCCGGGCUUAACCCGGAGGGUGCCUUUGAUACGGCAGGACUUUGAGUGCGGGAGAGGGUGAUGGAAUUCCUGGUGUAGCGGUGAAAAUGCGUAGAUAUCAGGAGGAACACCGGUGGCGAAGGCGGUCACCUGGCCCGUAACUGACGCUGAGGCACGAAAGCGUGGGGAUCAAACAGG